UUCGUACGGUGGCUCGCUAAGUCAGACGUGAAAUCCCUCAGCUUAACUGGGGAACUGCGUCUGAGACUGGCAAGCUCGAGUGCAGGAGAGGAACGCGGAAUUCCAGGUGUAGCGGUGAAAUGCGUAGAUAUCUGGAGGAACACCGGUGGCGAAGGCGGCGUUCUGGACUGCAACUGACACUGAUGAACGAAAGCCAAGGGGAGCAAACG
rnacentral:rRNA from 1 species